rnacentral:rRNA from 1 species
AUUGAACGCUGGCGGCAGGCCUAACACAUGCAAGUCGAGCGGAUGAAGGGAGCUUGCUCCUGGAUUCAGCGGCGGACGGGUGAGUAAUGCCUAGGAAUCUGCCUGGUAGUGGGGGAUAACGUCCGGAAACGGGCGCUAAUACCGCAUACGUCCUGAGGGAGAAAGUGGGGGAUCUUCGGACCUCACGCUAUCUGAUGAGCCUAGGUCGGAUUAGCUAGUUGGUGGGGUAAAGGCCUACCAAGGCGACGAUCCGUAACUGGUCUGAGAGGAUGAUCAGUCACACUGGAACUGAGACACGGUCCAGACUCCUACGGGAGGCAGCAGUGGGGAAUAUUGGACAAUGGGCGAAAGCCUGAUCCAGCCAUGCCGCGUGUGUGAAGAAGGUCUUCGGAUUGUAAAGCACUUUAAGUUGGGAGGAAGGGCAGUAAGUUAAUACCUUGCUGUUUUGACGUUACCAACAGAAUAAGCACCGGCUAACUUCGUG